rnacentral:rRNA from 1 species
AGACCCGAAACCCGGUGAUCUAGCCAUGGGCAGGUUGAAGGUUGGGUAACACUAACUGGAGGACCGAACCGACUAAUGUUGAAAAAUUAGCGGAUGACCUGUGGCUGGGGGUGAAAGGCCAAUCAAACCGGGAGAUAGCUGGUUCUCCCCGAAAGCUAUUUAGGUAGCGCCUCGUGAAUUCAUCUCCGGGGGUAGAGCACUGUUUCGGCUAGGGGGCCAUCCCGGCUUACCAACCCGAUGCAAACUGCGAAUACCGGAGAAUGUUAUCACGGGAGACACACGGCGGGUGCUAACGUCCGUCGUGAAGAGGGAAACAACCCAGACCGCCAGCUAAGGUCCCAAAGUCAUGGUUAAGUGGGAAACGAUGUGGGAAGGCCCAGACAGCCAGGAUGUUGGCUUAGAAGCAGCCAUCAUUUAAAGAAAGCGUAAUAGCUCACUGGUCGAGUCGGCCUGCGCGGAAGAUGUAACGGGGCUAAACCAUGCACCGAAGCUGCGGCAGCGACACUGUGUGUUGUUGGGUAGGGGAGCGUUCUGUAAGCCGUUGAAGGUGGCCUGUGAGGGUUGCUGGAGGUAUCAGAAGUGCGAAUGCUGACAUAAGUAACGAUAAAGCGGGUGAAAAGCCCGCUCGCCGGAAGACCAAGGGUUCCUGUCCAACGUUAAUCGGGGCAGGGUGAGUCGACCCCUAAGGCGAGGCCGAAAGGCGUAGUCGAUGGGAAACGGGUUAAUAUUCCCGUACUUGGUGUUACUGCGAAGGGGGGACGGAGAAGGCUAUGUUGGCCGGGCGACGGUU